rnacentral:rRNA from 1 species
UACGUAGGGCGCAAGCGUUGUCCGGAAUUAUUGGGCGUAAAGAGCUCGUAGGCGGUUUGUCGCGUCUGCUGUGAAAACCCGAGGCUCAACCUCGGGCCUGCAGUGGGUACGGGCAGACUAGAGUGUGGUAGGGGAGACUGGAAUUCCUGGUGUAGCGGUGAAAUGCGCAGAUAUCAGGAGGAACACCGAUGGCGAAGGCAGGUCUCUGGGCCACUACUGACGCUGGAGAAGCGGAAAAGCAUGGGGAGCGAACAGG